rnacentral:misc_RNA from 1 species
GUGAUUGCAAAAGUACAUUUCCACAAGUAUGACUUGAGGAAACCGCGUAAGAAAAAACAAAAUUAGCCCUUGACCAAUUUAAAACAUCAGAUUCAUAUAAGAAGCCCAACUUUCCAGCCUGACGUUGUCGCUCCUUCAGAGGGUGACUAGUGCUCUUGCAUAUAACUUCUAUUCCAGGACCAGAGUUAACAUUAAGCUGUAUCUUUUCUUUUUUAGAUAUUUUUUUUCCAGCUGGAGUGACGAAGUCGGG